AAAGUUGAUUCAGUUUUGUAUAUACUGGUGUUUAUAUUUGUGUUCCUCUUUAAUUUUGUUGUGAAUGGGUUACCGUAUGUGAGUGACGAGUGUCGGGUGAGUGUGCUAUUUUUAGAUCGAGUAUUUAAAGUGACCGGUUUGGGUGUAGUGGUCAGUAGAGUGUCCGGUAACGACAUCAGCCGGGUGCCACGUUUUGCAGCUCCUGAUUUAAGAAAUUGGUGAAUAUCUCCAGUUAGUAUUAUACUGAGGAGAAACGGGUAACCAUUGAAUUCUGAAUUUGUUAGGCGGGCACGUGUUUUCCUAGCCGUGCGUAAGGGUGUUUGGUACAAUUUCCUGAAAUACAGACUGGUGUGCUAGACGGGAAUUUUCCUAUGGAAGGUCAUGUGGGCAACUGACGAAUGUCGGAGACGCAUUCUGUGCUGAGUGGGGCGUGGUUUUCUGUCCGGGCAGUGGUCGUAGACUGGAAGCGAGAGACCUGCGAGUCCGGGGCUUUCAGUUAGGAUAGCGACUAGAGGGGCAGGAAAUUUGACGAGGGUAGGAACGUCCUGGGUGCAUGGUGACCUUGAAGUGACCGAGUUCAUUUUCAGAGAGAGGUUUCAAGUGUUAAAAAGCGACUGUUAUUACAGGCUAAUUUUCAUAUACAUGAUUUUGAGCUGAAAUUUGAACUAAUUGUAAUAUCACGGUAUUUUGAAUAAUUGAACUUUAACAUUUUUUUAGUAAAUUUUUCAACAAGAGUUUUAUUGGUUGAAAUAGCUUCUAAACAACAUUUUGUAGUUUACUUCCAUUUUAUAUCUGAUACAGUGUGAUUUAAUCUUGAAUUCAGUUGAUAGUUUCAGAUAUUUGUUCAUUUGUUUAAUUGAAUUAUUAUUCUUUUUUUUUGUAAUGUUCGAAUGAGAGUGGCGUGAAAGGGGGAGUGAGAAUACUGAUUUGUUUUGUUUAUUAAUGUUUUUUUCAAAUUAAACUUGUUUAUUUUC